rnacentral:rRNA from 1 species
CGUACUUGUACUGAUUGAGAUUUUAACACGAAGUGAGUGGCGAACGGGUGAGUAACACGUGGGUAACCUGCCCAGAAGUAGGGGAUAACACCUGGAAACAGAUGCUAAUACCGUAUAACAGAGAAAACCGCAUGGUUUUCUUUUAAAAGAUGGCUCUGCUAUCACUUCUGGAUGGACCCGCGGCGUAUUAGCUAGUUGGUGAGGUAAAGGCUCACCAAGGCAGUGAUACGUAGCCGACCUGAGAGGGUAAUCGGCCACAUUGGGACUGAGACCGGCCCAGACUCCUACGGGAGGCAGCAGUAGGGAAUCUUCCACAAUGGACGCAAGUCUGAUGGAGCAACGCCGCGUGAGUGAAGAAGGGUUUCGGCUCGUAAGCUCUGUUGUUAAAGAAGA